AGCCUUCCAACCACUCUUCAAGUUUCUUACUGUGCUCAUCUUCCAGAGCCAACCUCUCAAUGUCAGUGUGUACCAAAAUCCUACCUUUGGUCCUCUUCUCAGCAGGAGGAGCCCCCACUCCAAGCUCACAAUCUCCCUUAGCUUCCACCUCCACUUUUUUUUUUUUUUUUUUUUUUUUGAGAUGGAGUUUCGCUCUUGUUGCCCAGGCUGGAGUGCAAUGGCGCGAUCUCGGCUCACCGCAACCUCCGUCUCCCAGGUUCAAGUGAUUCUCCUGCCUCAGCCUCCCAAGUAGCUGGGAUUACAGGCAUGUGCCACCACGCCCGGCUAAUUUUGUAUUUUUAGUAGAGAUGGGGUUUCUCCAUGUUGGUCAGGCUGGUCUUGACUCCUGAUCUCAGAUGAUCCACCCGCCUUGGCCUCCCAAAGUGCUGGGUUGACAGUCAUGAGCCACCGCGCCUGGCCAGCUUCCACCUCUACUUUUAAACCAAGUUUGAAAUCCCUAUUGUCAAAACAUCUUGCCUACCAGCUAUCUUCACCCAACUUUCUCUUUAAACCAGUUUCUGCUAUCUUUUUUUUUUUUUUUUUUUUUUUCUCCCAAGUAGCUGGGAUUACAGUUGCCCACCACCAUGCCCGGCUAAUUUUUCUAUUUUUAGUAGAGAUGGGGUUUCACCA
rnacentral:lncRNA from 1 species